UUUAAUGGAUUUGGCGGCAAGAUAGCCCAUUUAGAGGAACCUGCCCUGUAAACGAUGAACCACGAUAAACUUUACUUUAAUUAGAAACCAGUUUGUAUACCGCUGUUGUUAGUCAGUUUCCAUAGAAGACUUUCAGUAAUGAUACGUUCAUUGACUUCAAGUAAAGGUGCAGCUUAUAUUAAAGAUAGAGGUGGGUUACAAUUAUUAGAAUAAUUACGGAUAGUAGGAUGAAAAAUUACUUGAAGGUGGAUUUAAUUGUAAAAUUUAUAAUAAUUUGACUUGAGCACUGUUUUGUGUACACAC
rnacentral:rRNA from 1 species